rnacentral:rRNA from 1 species
UACGGAGGGUGCGAACGUUAAUCGGGAUCACUGGGCGUAAAGCGCGCGUAGGCGGUUUGUUAAGUGGGAUGUGAAAUCCCCGGGCUUAACCUGGGAAUUGCAUUUCAAACUGGCCGACUAGAGUACGGUAGAGGGAGGUAGAAUUUCCUGUGUAGCGGUGAAAUGCGUAGAUAUAGGAAGGAAUACCAGUGGCGAAGGCGGCCUCCUGGAUCGAUACUGACGCUGAGGCGCGAAAGCGUGGGGAGCAAACAGG